AAUUAAGUUUCACAACGAAUACACCUCUUUUUUCAUGAAGACAUUCUAAUGCAACAUUUGGUUUUCAAAAUAAGCAAACCACACAGGGUGGUCAUUGCUCAGGUUUCAUGGGAACUCCUCAGGACCUAAAGGUCUACCUGGACGAUACAGAAUAAUCUCCCCAUCUCAGGAUCCUUAAGUUCCAUCUCAUCUGAAAAGGCCCUUGUGCCACGUAAGGUGGGGGUCACAAAUUCCGGAGAUUAGGACCUGGACGUCUGGCCUAUGGUGAAGGGAAGAAACAGAAAGUGGUAACUGGGGAGCUGGAUGUGAUGAGAGAAUGAAAUACUGGAUGCCUAUCCAGACAUAGAGAAGAGUGUGACAGUUCUUCGCCGCCCAGAAGCGACGAUCACGCCGUGUCAUAGGUCCUGUGAUGGAGCGAGCACCACUGACCGCCAUUUAUGGAGUUCUGAGGCUACCUUGCCCGAAUGUGGGUCUUCUUUUUCUCGGGGAGUACACGCUGAACUGGAAGGCACGUGAGAAAGUCUGAGCUGAGAUUUUGGUGUCUAGAUAAUACUCGUGGAAUGAGACUUAAAGUCUGGAGCGUGCGACUGGGAGGGACCCUCGUAUACUACCCCAGCCUUGGUCUAGAACACCGAAAAUACUGCUGUGAAAGUCAGAAUACACCAGAAGUAAACCAGCCCGUUCACAAACUGCAGGUCAGAAUCAAAUUCUCCGGACGAUCCAAUCAUUUAAAACGAGCCCAGGUAGUUAGUAGCCCUCAAAACACACCAGAAGUAUGGGGCACCUGGGCGUCUCAGUCGGUUGAG